AUUGAAGACUGGAUGCAACAAUCU
rnacentral:sRNA from 1 species